rnacentral:rRNA from 1 species
GAUGAACGCUGGCGGCGUGCCUAAUACAUGCAAGUCGAGCGAACGGACGAGAAGCUUGCUUCUCGGAUGUUAGGGGCGGACGGGAGAGUAACACGUGGAUAACCUCCCUAUAAGACUGGGAUAAUUUCGGGAAACGGGAGCUAAUACCGGAUAAUAUUUUGAACCGCAUGGUGGAAAAGUGAAAGACGGUCUUGCUGGCACUUAUAGAUGGAUCCGCGCUGCAUUAGCUAGUUGUUAAGGUAACGGGUUACCAAGGCAACGAGGCAUAGCCGACCUGAGAGGGUGAUAGGCCACCCUGGAACUGGGCCACGCUCCAGACUCCUACGGUACGCAGCAGUCGCGUAUCUUCCGCAAUGGGCGAAAGCCUUGCGGAGCAACGCCGCGUGAGUGAUGAAGGUCUUCGGAUCGUAAAACUCUGUUAUUAGGGAUGAACCUAUUUGUACGUAACUGUGCACAUCUUGACGGUACCUAAUCAGAAAGCCACGGCUAACUACGUG